ensembl:lncRNA
GUGUUACUGAGUAACAUUGAUAAUCCCUGUAAUAUCUCAGCACUAUGUUCUAGUGUGUUAGUGGUGAGUAACAUUGAUAAUCCCUGUAAUAUCUCAGCACUAUGUUCUAGCGUGUUAGUAGUGAGUAACAUUGUUAAUCCCUGUAAUAUCUCAGCACUAUGUUCUAGUGUGUUAGUAGUGAGUAACAUUGAUAAUCCCUGUAAUAUCUGAUAACAUAAUGCGUCUGGAUUGCAGGUGGUAUUUCACAUUUCAGUCGGUCAACAUCAGUGAUGUUUAGCAUUAAAAUGCACAACAGUAUAGAACAACACAUAUUUAUCUGGGGUAAAGAACCGUCACGUCAUCAUAUAUAUAUAUAUAUAUAUGUGUAUGUGUGUGUGUGUGUGAUUAGUCUGUGUUCUGACCACAGAGGAAAGGAGGAAUGCAAAUGCCUAUACAGACGCCCUAUCUAAUAACCGAGCCAUGAAAUCUCUCCCAUCUCCCAUAGGGCCUCACCUGCAGCAAAACAACUAAAGCAUUGUGGGUGUUCCAUUCAUCUCGCCGGGGAGCGCGUGGAAACGUGUUUCAACUGGCUGAAAGAUGAUUGCAUUAGUGGGUGUGAGCCGAUGACGUGACGAUCUUUUACCCCGGAUCAACCCUGGUCAGCGAUGAGGUGACGAUCCUUUACCCCGGAUCAACCCUGGUCAGCGAUGAGGUGACGAUCCUUUACCCCGGAUCAACCCUGGUCAGCGAUGAGGUGACGAUCCUUUACCCCGGAUCAACCCUGGUCAGAGAUGAGGUGACGAUCCUUUACCCCGGAUCAACCCUGGACAGAGAUGAGGUGACGAUCCUUUACCCCGGAUCAACCCUGGACAGAGAUGACGUGACGAUCCUUUACCCCGGAUCAACCCUGGUCAGAGAUGAGGUGACGAUCCUUUACCCCGGAUCAACCCUGGUCAGAGAUGACGGUCUUUACCCCAGAUCAACCCUGGUCAGAGAUGAGGUGACGAUCCUUUACCCCGGAUCAACCCUGGUCAGCGAUGACAUGACGGUCCUUUCCCCCGGAUCAACCCUGGUCAGCGAUGACGUGAUGGUCCUUUCCCCCGGAUUAACCCUGGUCAGAGAUGACGUGAUGGGCCUUUCCCCCGGAUCAACCCUGGUCAGAGAUGACGGUCUUUAUCC